ACUUAAAUAGCUUAAUUUUAAAGCGUAAUAUUGAAGAUAUUAAAAUAGUGUAUCACUUUUAAGU
rnacentral:tRNA from 1 species